ACAUUUCUGUCUCUGCUCCCACUGCAGGCUGUUUUGUUCCUCCCUGACUCUGUCACCCUCCUCUGCUUCUCUGUCACAGUCUCUCUCCCUUCCCUCAGUCUCUGUCCUUCUGUCUGAGCCGAGGUUCUCUGGGCUUCCAGAGGCAGAUGAUGGUCUCCAGCUCUUCAGACAGUGGCUGCUUUCAUUCCAUUUCCUGGCCCCUGUCUGGGAACAAUGAAGAAGAAUCACGCAGGCACCAGGUGAUGAGACACCGGGGCAGGGCGCUAAGUGAACAGAAGCUGUGGUCAGAUUGGAGCAUCCUCAGAGCCAUGUAUAAAAAUGGACUAGCUCUCUCCCUCUCCCUCUCCCUCUCCCU
ensembl:lncRNA novel transcript